UUGACGAUGAUAGAGCUAGGGUAUCUGUCAACUCACCGAUUGCCAGAGUCCAUGUGACUAAUAUGGCUGGCUUGAUGUCCUCUUCCUCACUCAUCACAUAGUGAGGAAUGCUCCUGAAAUUCUGUGCCUGGUCAGAGAGAAUGAUGUUCCCUAGUAGAGAAGAACUGUUCUUCAAUCAAAAGUAAGCUGUCACAGAACUGCCCUGCAAGAAACUUUGUACCAGUUAAACUAUUACUGGUGAAUUUAAGCAGAAAAUGAGGAUUAUUAUAAGGG
rnacentral:sRNA from 1 species